rnacentral:rRNA from 1 species
UACGAAGGGGGCUAGCGUUGCUCGGAAUCACUGGGCGUAAAGCGCACGUAGGCGGACUCUUAAGUCGGUGGUGAAAUCCUGGAGCUCAACUCCAGAACUGCCUUCGAUACUGAGAGUCUUGAGUACGGGAGAGGUGAGUGGAACUGCGAGUGUAGAGGUGAAAUUCGUAGAUAUUCGCAAGAACACCAGUGGCGAAGGCGGCUCACUGGCCCGUAACUGACGCUGAGGCACGAAAGCGUGGGGAGCAAACAGG